CCCAUGGAGGAUGUAGUAGUCUUCCCUGAAAAGGGCAGGACACAAGCCUUGGUUAUGUCCAAUUGCAGCUCAAUUAAGAGUAUAAAAGCGUUCCCCUGCAAGCAGGGCUUUCUUUUUUAUGAGCUGUUGGACAGAAAGAAGAGGAUGGAGCUAGUAAAGUGGAAAGGGACUCCCUUGGGCGGUAUGUUUAGGAUGCUCUGUUGCUUCUUUUCUUUGGUCCUAAGGGCCUCUAACAGCUUUAAAGAUAUGUUUAUGCUGGGAGACCAUCGCCUCCUUUGCCGCGGAUGGAAAAGCGUGCCUCUCGCCCUUCCCGCAAACAGCAUUGCAGUGAUUUCCCUUCUGAGUGCUGUGGGUUUGCUUUCGCUGUAGUGCAUCAGCCUGUGUCUCAGAUACUAUGAAACCCUGCACACCUCACUGACCUCCUGAGAGGUAGAAGCUUACUUUGGAGGCAGUAAGAAAAUGGGAGGCACCAGCAUGAGUCUCUGUAGUGAAGUGAAGAAGAUGCCUACUGAUGUGGAUGAGGGCACAUGCCACCGCCAACAUCAAACCUACCAUGUGAAAGCAAACAGACUUGGUCCUACGGGCAGUCAUGGAGCCUGAACUAAAGGAGUGCACCCCCUUUUUCACUCCUACAUCCAAAAUUUUUAUCCAAGACUGAUUUUUGGCUGCACCUGCGAGAAUAUGGACUACAAGUGCAGCUGGGCACCCAGAGCUGGAGUGCACUACCAUGAGAGAGAAGAACGACUCGAAAAUGAGAAGAGGGAAUGAAACUGUGAGGCACUUCCUACUCCCACAGCUAAAAGACAAAUAGUUUCAAGAAGGAGCUUUUUCACAGAUUAUCUGCCAUGAUAAACACUUUUCAACAAAAAGCUUUCUGGCAGAGACAACUUAUCUGGCAAGAACAACAGUGUGAAAUGAAGAUAAAUGAAGAAUAUGGGCACAUGAAUCCUAAGAAGUAGGCUGGGUCGGCCUUACUCAGAGGAAGGUUUUCAGGUGGAUGGAAUUUUUCUGGUGUGCUAUGGAGCCCUAAGUGAUCCAUGCUCACUUUUCAUCCUACUUUAGUACCCUCCUAUCCUGCCACCCCUUCCUUAAGGUCAUGCAUGGGAGUCAUCCUGUGAAGGACAUGUCUGUGUUGCAUCCAGAGGCGUGAUUUCAGGAUGGAUAAAAGUAACCACUCUAGCUAAAUUAAAGUCAGUAGUGGUAAGCUUCAUGAUUAUCAGUGUGGGCUAGCAGUUUACUUACAAAGCUUCUCAAAUAGAUCUGCAUAGGUCUCUUGUAAUUUUAUUGGCACUCAUAUCAACUGCAUGUGAGAACAAGCUACCUCAUGCAUGUCUGUGCGUCCUGCAACUUACCCCUCCAGUGAAGAUGUGCCCUGUGUGAAAGAGAAGAGGAGCCUCUAUCAAGCCUUUUAGCUGCCGCGGCUUCCUAGGCAUGAGAUUUCCCGUGGAAUUGAUUCUCCAAGGGAAAACACCGUUUCCUUUACAAUCACAAAACACAGCAACGUUUGACAGCUUGAAAAUGUUAGAAUCUGAACAGAAUGUUUUGACUUGGGUUGGUUCAAACAUUUGCACUUGCUGAAAGGAAUCAAAGCAUUUUGCUGUGCAUUUCUUUGACAUCAAGUGGCACCUGCCCAUGGAGCUGUGGUGCCUCAUGGGAGGUGUAGUUUGGAUGCGUUGUGCGUGCAGCUCUUUUCAUGGACCCGUCUGCUUGUCUGAAGUACGUUUCCAAUAGCAUGCAGCAGAUCUACUCUGAGUGAGCCAAACGGUGCAGGGUAAAGUCAGAGAGCAGCCAGACAUUAUGGAAGAUCAAUUCUAGCACAGGCGAGAAAAAGGGCUAUUGAAGCAUUCAGUAUAACAUUCCAGAACAAAAUGUUUGGUUUCAAGGAACGUCAAUAGGCGUUGUUUGGAUUGGAGAAUUGGAAAAAUGACUGUAUUUCCGGUUGUGUUUUUUAAAAAAAAUUGUUCCUUUGGAAAAAUGUGUAUUAAUUAAGCUUUUCAUUCUGCAAAUUGUAGUGUUUUUCAUGGGCUGGACCACCCAAUUCUAUUCUUAGCUAGCAUAAGAGCUCAGUUUCACAGUAGGUGUAAUAGGAUUGAUUCAGCCUCUGCCACCCCAGGGGUGGAGCUAACCCGAUGAUUAGUGACACAAUUAAUGAUUUUUACCCUUGUUGCAUGAAAAGAUGUGUGUUGUUGUGGGCUUUUUUUUUUUUUUUUUACAUUCUGAGACGUAGUUAUUAUUUUUUUCCACUGGAAUUUGGAAAUCAGCCUUGAUGAACAGAGAACAUACUGACUUGCUUUAUGAGCAGUGGAAUCCCAGCUUUCUUACAUAGCUCAUGUCAAUGAAGUUGUGCAAAAGAAAGCAUCUUUACUUCCAGAACUUCAAUCACAAAAAUAAAAAUAAAAAAUCCCUCCUUCUGUCUGAAAUGCUGCCACCCCUGGAAUGGAGCACCUACUGUUAAGCAACGGAGCACAGCUCAGCAGCAUGCUAGCAGAGCAAUGAAAACUAAUGUCUUCCCCAUCUGAAAUUGCAGGAGUGGCUUAAAGAGUGAUAAAUUAUUACCCCUGGUGUUUGCCUGGGAUGCACAGACCAAAACGUGGGAAGGGAAAGCAAGCCAGGAGAUGACAGCAGGUGGGAAAGGCCUAAAUUAUGAUUUUCUUUCUGAAGUGAGAUACCUUUCCUGGGAUCUCUCAGAGAGACGGCCGCAUAUGGGGGCAGCUCUGUGCAUACUGAGUGGGACUGCUCUGAGCCUGUGAUUAGAAUGCACCUAUUUAAUCCUCUGAAGCUGGUGGAUUAGGGUAUGGCUCUCUGAUUUAUUUUGUCUGUUUGGGCUGUGUACACACUGUGUAGGGGAAUUUGGAUCUAAUCUUUGCCAUCAUUAUAAUUAAUUAGACGCUAUUCUGCAGCAUGUAAUGGUGGCGAUAGAGCCCUUACAUGGGUCUGUGUGUUCCUCACAUACUGUGCCGCGAGAAGAGAUCUGCUGGGGAGAUAGUUGUUAAUUAAUUGUUUGGUUUGUCAAAACAACACCCUGGGCCAAGUUCAAACUUGGUGUUAGGCUGUUGAUUUCAUCUGCCUGGCACCCAGUGAGGGAUUUUCCCCCAGAGUUUUUGUCCCUUUCAUUUCCCUUUUAAUGU